UGGGGAAUAUUGCACAAUGGAGGAAACUCUGAUGCAGCAACGCCGCGUGAAGGACGAAGGUUUUCGGAUUGUAAACUUCUUUUAUCGGGGAAGAUAAUGACGGUACCCGAUGAAUAAGCCACGGCUAACUACGUGCCAGCAGCCGCGGUAAUACGUAGGUGGCAAGCGUUGUCCGGAAUUACUGGGUGUAAAGGGCGAGUAGGCGGGAAAUCAAGUCAGAUGUGAAAUGCAAAGGCUCAACCUUUGAACUGCAUUUGAAACUGAUUUUCUUGAGUGAUGGAGAGGCAGGCGGAAUUCCCGGUGUAGCGGUGGAAUGCAUAGAUAUCGGGAGGAACACCAGUGGCGAAGGCGGCCUGCUGGACAUUAACUGACGCUGAGGAGCGAAAGCGUGGGGAGCAAACA
rnacentral:rRNA from 1 species